CCUGCGCUGUGCUGGGUGGUGGCAGGUGCAGGUUGGUGUGCCAGCACAGGCACAUUGCUCUUUCCUUUGCACUGGAGUGUCUGGAGUGCAAGAACGUCUCGGACAUGUAUGAACUGUUCCUGGACCUGGCACUGGAGAUCUGGCAAGCCAGAGACCUACGGUAAGCACUGGAGCUGUUUGUGAAGCCAGACCUGUUGUGUGGGAGAACUACCUGUGUGCAGGCCUGUGGCAUACCCAGAGGUCCUGAACAUCCACC
rnacentral:lncRNA from 14 species